rnacentral:tRNA from 1 species
GAGGCUGUAACUCAGUGGUAGAGUUCUUGCCUGGCAUGUAUGAGGCCCUGGGUUUGAUCCCUAGCACCUCCU